rnacentral:rRNA from 1 species
AACGAACGCUGGCGGCAGGCUUAACACAUGCAAGGCGAACGCAUCCUUCGGGGUGAGUGGCAGACGGGUGAGUAACGCGUGGGAACGUGCCCUUCAGUUCGGGAUAACCCAGGGAAACUUGGGCUAAUACCGGAUACGUGCGAGAGCAGAAAGAUUUGUUGGUGAAGGAUCGGCCCGCGUCUGAUUAGCGAGUUGGUGGGGUAAUGGCACACCAAGGCGACGAUCAGUAGCUGGUCUGAGAGGAUGAUCAGCCACAUUGGGACUGAGACACGGCCACAACUCUGACGACAGGCAGCAGUGGGGAAGAUUGGACGAUGGGCGCAGGCCUGAUCCAGCCGUGCCGCGUGAGUGAUGAAGGCCUUAGGGUUGUAAAGCUCUUUCGUCCGGGACGAUAAUGACGGUACCGGAAGAAGAAGCCCCGGCUAACUUCGUGCCAGCCGCCGCCGUAA